ensembl:lncRNA
CUUUCUCACUUUCCUCCCAGCAGCCUCUUCCCCUGCAGUUUAGGUAAUACAGAAGCUUAUAAACAAAUCCCAGCGCGUGAAAAAUAGCAAAGGGGGAGAAAAAAAAAGAGACCUGGGUUAGGGCUGUGAUGGAUAGACAGGUGGAAGGCAGGCACCAGAAGGGAGGAUGAAUGGUAAAAGCCUUUGAUGGAAACACUAAAGAGCUAUUGAAAAUCCAAGGGGUGGGGGGAGGGAGGAGAAAGAAUAGCAGGAGGAGGGAAAGCAAGGGAGUCGUGCCCCCGUCCCCCCGCCCUCUUUCUCAGGAUGUUGAAAGUAUUUGUCCUUCGUUACAAAAUGAUUGAACUGCCGCCAGGCCAGGCCACCCUUCCAGCCAUUGCACUGGGAAACUGGCACUUCUGAAAGCCUCAUUGCCUCUCAAAUUUUAUAGCUUUCCCUUUUUGUGGGAGUUUUUGUGUUGUGCUAUUUGCAGGAUUGUUUUCAGAUUUGCCGCGUAUCAAAGAAACUAUGUUUUGUUUUUGUUGCUCUGACAAACACAGAAUCCAGGUAAUGAAAAGAAAAUUAAAAAAUAAAGGCACAUUUUUAUCAGAAAACACAGCUGUCUCCCUUUUAUUGAGUCAGAAUUUCAUACAUUUGGUAUUCACGGUGUGAAUUUGAUUUACCUCUAGUGCUUUUUGAAGGAAGAAUUUCAUCCUACAAAUAGAGAUUCUCCUUUACUAAAGCCUCUGUGUGCACAAAAGUGGUGCCUGUUCUUCAUAGUCAGAGUAGUGAGGAUGACCCUGUUGUAUCAUAAUUAAAAUGGAUUUUGUAUCACGUACAUGUAGACAACAGUGGGAAAAAAUAAUCUUUCCCCCUUUCAGAAUGGCUCCUGAAGCUCUGCAAUGUCUUUGACCUGCAGGAUCUACAGAUGGAAAGAGCUGUUGAAGAUCUGAGUAUGAGACUGUUCCUGCUGCCAGAGGCUGUAUUUGUACCAUGUAUUUAUAUGUGCAUGAGGCUUCCUUGUGGAAACAUCACCAGGCUGUCAGUCAGCCACGGAGAGGUGGUACAGCUGGUACAGUCCUUCCUCCCUCUCAGGAGUGAGUGAAUCAUCCCUUGAAUAUGCAAUAUCAUCCAGGACAGGAGCCAGGAUUCUCAACAGGCACUUGAAUUCCAGCAUCUCUGGAAACAUUAUUUCCACAUUUUGGGCAGACUAAGAGACAGUAAGUAAAUAAGCAAGCUGUGGCAUUUGAUAUCUCUUGUAGUUUUAUUUAAAGUGACUGCCUGUGCUUGAAAUGCUUGUGUGGGUAUUAAAAACACAAAGAGAAAAGUGUGUAUCCUUGAUUUGAUACUGCCCAAGGCAGCUUCAGGGUAUGGCCCAUUUAAUGCCAUUGAGCAGUCCAUUGAACAGUUAAGAACCCACCAGAAACAGUAACUGCCUGCUUUCCUCCUGAACACACAUGAACCAACACAUCCCAAGCCCUCUCUGGUUUUGGUCUCUGCAUUUCUCCUUUGGAGCUGUGUCCAUGCUGGCUCUUGGUCCUGCAGGGAGUUGUUUCCCACCCCUCACACAGGAGCAGUGAAAGGCAAUGGGCUCCUUCCCUCAGCUGGGCUCUUGUUCAAAAGUGUCUCCCCUCCAAGGAAAAGACCAAUUUCCCAUGUUUUCCUGGGCUGUAGGUGGGAUGCAGCUGGAGAAUCAGGGAAUAUUCACUGCCUCAGCAGGUAGUCCAUGACACAGCAUUUCACAACAUCAACUGGUUUUCCUGAGCUCAUGUGUGCUGUGCUCAUGAACCCAAUAAAACUGCCCUGGAGUGAAUGUACA